GACGAACGCUGGCGGCGUGCCUAAUACAUGCAAGUCGAACGAGAGCGUCCGGUGCUUGCACUGGUCAAUCUAGUGGCGAACGGGUGAGUAACACGUGGGUAACCUGCCCAUCAGAGGGGGAUAACAUCCGGAAACGGAUGCUAAUACCGCAUAGGUCUUCGAGCCGCAUGGCUCGAUGAGGAAAAGAGGCGCAAGCUUCUGCUGUUGGAUGGUCCCGCGGUGCAUUAGCUAGUUGGUGAGGUAACGGCUCACCAAGGCCGUGAUGCAUAGCCGACCUGAGAGGGUGAUCGGCCACACUGGGACUGAGACACGGCCCAGACUCCUACGGGAGGCAGCAGUAGGGAAUCUUCCGCAAAGGGCGAAAGUCUGACGGAGCAACGCCGCGUGAGUGAAGAAGGUCUUCGGAUCGUAAAACUCUGUUGUUAGGGAAGAACAAGUGCUAGAGUAACUGUUAGCGCCUUGACGGUACCUAACCAGAAAGCCACGGCUAACUACGUG
rnacentral:rRNA from 1 species